rnacentral:rRNA from 1 species
AAUAGAUACCCGGGUAGUCCACGCCGUAAACGGUGGGCACUAGGUGUGGGCAGCAUUCCACGUUGUCCGUGCCGUAGCUAACGCAUUAAGUGCCCCGCCUGGGGAGUACGGCCGCAAGGCUAAAACUCAAAGGAAUUGACGGGGGGCCCGCACAAGCGGCGGAGCAUGUGGCUUAAUUCGACGCAACGCGAAGAACCUUACCAAGGCUUGACAUACACCGGAAAACCCUGGAGACAGGGUCCCCCUUGUGGUCGGUGUACAGGUGGUGCAUGGCUGUCGUCAGCUCGUGUCGUGAGAUGUUGGGUUAAGUCCCGCAACGAGCGCAACCCUUGUCCCGUGUUGCCAGCAGGCCCUUGUGGUGCUGGGGACUCACGGGAGACCGCCGGGGUCAACUCGGAGGAAGGUGGGGACGACGUCAAGUCAUCAUGCCCCUUAUGUCUUGGGCUGCACACGUGCUACAAUAGCCGGUACAAAGAGCUGCGAUACCGUGAGGUGGAGCGAAUCUCAAAAAGCCGGUCUCAGUUCGGAUUGGGGUCUGCAACCCGACCC